CCAGAGAAUAGGGUGUGGACAACUAUGAGGGCCCAUUAUUCUGUCAUAGGGACUCACUGAACAUAGGGGUGGUCAGUGAAAAAUCCCAUGAGAAGGAUGGUAGGGAACCAUCAGGUGAAGAACUGGGGGAGAGCAUUUAGGUGAUGUGGGGGAGGGAACUUGAGAUCUUUGGGCAAUGAAGGUGAUCGUGAUAGACCAAGUGUGUGAGAGUGUCUUCCCCAUGGAAGUCACUGGGAGAGUCUAAAGCAGAUUUGUGUUUAAAAAGAGCACUGUGGCUGCUGUGUUGGCAGUGGGGUGGGGGUGGUAAGGUGGACGUGGAAGCCACUCUUUUAAUUUAGAAGAGAGAUGCUGGUGGGCUGGCCUUGCUGGUGGAGAGAGAUCAAACAGAAGAGACUGGACUGGACACCGAAGGAGAGUGAAUCAGUAGGACAUGGGCACCAAUGCCUCUGCUCUGGAAAAAGACAUUGGUCCAGAGCAGUUUCCAAUCAAUGAACACUACUUCGGAUUGGUCAAUUUCGGAAACACGUGCUACUGUAACUCCGUGCUGCAGGCACUGUACUUCUGCCGGCCGUUCCGGGAGAAUGUGCUGGCAUACAAGGCCCAGCAAAAAAAGAAGGAAAACCUGCUGACGUGCCUGGCAGACCUCUUCCACAGCAUUGCCACACAGAAGAAGAAGGUUGGCGUGAUCCCACCAAAGAAGUUCAUCUCAAGGCUGAGGAAAGAAAAUGAUCUCUUUGAUAACUACAUGCAGCAGGACGCUCACGAAUUUUUAAAUUAUUUGCUAAACACUAUUGCGGACAUCCUGCAGGAAGAGAAGAAACAGGAAAAGCAAAAUGGAAAAUUAAAAAAUGGCAACAUGAAUGAACCUGCAGAGAAUAAUAAACCAGAACUCACUUGGGUCCAUGAGAUUUUUCAGGGAACGCUCACCAAUGAAACUCGAUGCUUGAACUGUGAAACUGUUAGUAGCAAAGAUGAAGAUUUUCUCGACCUUUCUGUCGAUGUGGAGCAGAAUACAUCUAUUACUCACUGUCUAAGAGACUUCAGCAACACAGAAACUCUGUGUAGUGAACAGAAAUAUUAUUGUGAAACCUGCUGCAGCAAACAGGAGGCCCAGAAAAGGAUGAGAGUAAAAAAGCUGCCCAUGAUUUUGGCCCUGCACCUAAAGCGAUUCAAGUACAUGGAGCAGCUCCACAGGUACACCAAGCUCUCUUACCGGGUGGUCUUCCCGCUGGAACUCCGGCUCUUCAACACCUCCAGCGAUGCAGUGAACCUGGACCGCAUGUACGACCUGGUUGCAGUGGUGGUUCAUUGUGGCAGUGGUCCUAACCGCGGGCAUUAUAUUACCAUUGUGAAAAGUCAUGGCUUCUGGCUUUUGUUUGAUGAUGACAUUGUAGAGAAAAUAGAUGCCCAAGCUAUUGAAGAAUUCUAUGGCCUGACAUCAGAUAUAUCAAAAAAUUCAGAAUCUGGAUAUAUUUUAUUCUAUCAGUCAAGAGAAUAACUUAAAGAACUGUGGGACUAAUUCAAGUGGGGGAAAUGUUCAGAGCACUGUUACCUGGUUUCCCUGCAGACCGCCUUCUUCCCCAGCGGCCCACGAACGAGUCUCUUAAUUGACCUUGCCUGAGAGAACAUUCUGUGCUGAGACAACUGAAAAUAAACACCAGAAAAAUGUAAGAGUGAGCCUUCAUACCUUCUGCAGCAAGCUAAAUCUCUUCACUAGAGAGCUUCUCUCCAGGUUGAGAAUUGCCUGUUUCCCAAACUGAGACGUAGAAAAACACUUUUUAAUGGGUUAUGAAGCCCAUGCGAAGAAGCAGCUCAUUCUAUUGCCCUCUCCAAGUUACCCCUCCCUCUCCUCAUCCCAGAAUAAAUGGUUUGAAAAUUUUUUGCAAAGAAGUUGCUUCUGCAUCUUUUUCUACCUCCUCAAUCCCAAAGCCCAGAGAACAACAAUAAGUAUAAGUUGCUAACUUGCACUUUAGAGGUUUCAGCAGAAGUAGGAGAGAAGGCUGUGGCAUGGAGAAGAACCUGUGCCCUUCAUGCUUGUGGAUUUGCUUGGUGUUUAAAGUCUGUCAUCUGAGGUGUCUGUGGAAGUUUUUAUGAAGAACAAACACCACAGAAUCUGCCCUCAGAUAGGAAUUUAUAUAGAAUGUAGGAGUAUAAUGAGGUGUGAAUCUCAGCGGAGAAACAGAAGAGGGUAGUCCUUCUAACAUUACUGCUCAGUUUCUGACCUUGGGUCUCACUCUAACCCCUGUCCCAAUCUGUGUGCUUUCCCUGGAGACUUAGAGGGUCCCCUGUGGACCCCACACCUGUCCCUAGUUCAUAUACAAAUUCAGGUUCUAUGUGCUUUCUGUUGUCCUGACCGGGAUCUCUCAUAGAACUUUAGACUCAGCAGUAGUGUGGAAAAGCUCUCUGGACCUAGAACCCAAGUCCAGGUACUAGUGUGGAGAUCUAGUAGGGAUGAGGGGGAGAAGCAUCAGAAAGCUUAAAGGCUUGAUUGAGUUCAAGUCCUCACUGGCUUCCUGUGUGAUGUCACAGCCUUGUCACCUAAGUCAGAUGUUGGCCAUAGUGUUGGGAUUAGGAUGCUAAGGACUAUUUUUUGGUAAAGAAGCUUUCCCUCAGGUUCUCAAGGGUGAUGAAGACAGAAUUGCACAACAGUGGAAAACAUGUAACUAGUUCCUUACAUAAGAAGUUCUGAGAGGUGGUUACCUGAAAAAAGAAAUAGCAACAGUGUACAAAAACUAAAUAAGUUCUGGGGUACUGUACUACUGUUGAGUUUUACCUAAACCCUAUAACAUCUUUCAGGCACGAAGGACAAGAUUGUGUGGAGCUGAGAAACAGAAAAGCAGCUCCUGACAGCCAGGGACUGGCCCACAGCAGCCCCGCCUUGCCUGCUGCUCUGAGCUGGCCUGGUACUCCCCGGGCCACAGUGGUUUCUGGGUGAACAUAAACAAUCUCAAAGAACACUAACCUCAGACAAGGUCAUGCUGAAAUGAGCAUAAAGCAUUAUGAAGUGAGACAAAAAGCAAGACCACUUCAUAGUUUUAUCUGCAUAGACAAAAACAAGGUCACUGUAAACCCCCAGAUACCAAACAUCUCUUUCCCUCCUUCACGUCCAAGUCACAGCUGCUGCUUAUACGAUGAUGACACUUAGCUUUGUUGUCCUGCUAGUUAGAUGAGAUUUAUUAAGAUGUACAUGAUGAAGGAAUUAUCCCCACUUUGGAAAGCACACAACAGGAGUGAACCCCUAUUCCUUGAACCCUCCCCUAAGAACCAAACCAAAGCCCCAAUCCUGUAAGUUCUAACACCCUCUUAUAGCACUGCCCACCGUGUGUGGUCUCACUGCUGUGAACAUCAAACAGUUUGUUCAACCACUCUUGUGUUCCUGGUGGUCUGGCUGGGGGAGCCCUAACUGAGGAGAUAACCACUUCCUCGGGUCAGCCUGGGUCUGCUCGUCUCAUGGGCGGGAAGGAAAAAGCCACACACAUUCAAGGUUUGUCAUUAGUGUCCCACCACCUAAUGAUCUAUAGGAACUCCUAUCCAGGAGGGGUGGUGGUGUUGGGCUGGGUGCCAAGGCAAGCUUAAAAGUAACUGACUAAAUCAGGAUCUCAGUUUUUUCUAACCCGUAGAGUUAGGGAGAUCAGGGUUAUGAUGGAUGCUGCAAAGCACGCCAGGCAUAUUACAUGGUGGUUAUGAGCAGGAUAUGGUAAGACUGACAGGCUUUGUUCAUUGUCUAUGCAUUCUUGGCACUUCCACACCCGUCUUUAUGUCUCACAGGCUCACAUGUGUCUGUCUGUAGAGCCAAUGACAGAACCUCUAUAUGAGGCAGGAUCUGAAACUAAUCAGAUGGGGCCUGAGUGCCUUCUGCAGGAAAGGCACAAAGUCUAUUUCAGGAAUUCCAAUCUUCUGCUGAGAAGAUCCCUGUUCUGUCUGGAUCUUGUUAUGUAUGCCAAUAAACUUUCUAGAAUCAAGAGUUAAGAGCUGGAGUCGGCAGUGAGAAGUGGAGAAGGCAGAGGGGCCUAGAGGUAAUUGAGGAUAUAGUGCAGGGUCUAGUGCCCUCUGCUGGGAAUUUUUCCUGAACUGUGGCAUGUCCUGUUUUUAUUUUAUAUACAUUAUUUGUUCAUGGUCUGCUAAAAACAAACCAAACCCGACCAUUUUAAAUCUAAAUUGAGGCUUAAGUUUAACAGGCUCUCCCCUAUCUGCAGGAUCGAGCAGGAGAACGAGGGGCCACCAGGGUGAAGGAGAGAGGUCAGAGUGUCUUGAAGACCGAGUCCUCUAGUUCAGGCCUAGGCAGGGUCGGUCAUUGAGUGAAAUAAAUGCCUGCUAUCAGGCAAGAGUGGAGGCACCUGUGAAGCGUUGAGAACAAUUGAUUCCUGUCCCUAUUUAGAUGUCACAAAGCAGAAAAGGAAGAAAAAGAAGAAAGAAACACAGCAUAUUGGAGAGAUUGAUAUAAGGAUUGAAAUGAAAGAUCUGAGAGCCAGUCUCUUAUUUGGGAGGGUGUGGGAGAAUGCCCCUCAGUAAGACAGCUAACAUGACUAAGCCUGAUUUUAAAUCCUUACAGCUCUGAGGGCAAAUACAGUUUUGUUUCUCCUAUUCGCAUUCUGAUUAAAAUUCUUUGCAAGCUAUUGAUUUCUUUGUUGCACAAAAACUGUAAGAGUUCCCCAAAGUAAUAAAGGGUUGGCACUAAUUUGUUAUUUUAGAAUUUAUGGAAAAUUGUUAUGUAUUUUGCAGCAUUCUUGCAUUACUUUUGCUGAGGCAUUUCUUUGUAGUCAUGUCUGCUGAUCUCAAAUUAUAGGAUGUGUAAUGGAACUUUAAUCACAUUAGGCUCAGGAUUAUUCUCUUUUCCAUUUGGACAGAAAGUCUAUAGUGACAUCUGAGAACAGGAGCUGUGAGUAGGUGAAGGAUGGAAAUGUGAGAAUGUUCAAUAAAGAAAUUGCAAAGCGGCUCUGAAGGAGCAGGGGGGACGUCGAGUUAUCCUUCCUCUGCUCAGCUGCUUGGUGCCUGGCUUCUGUCACACGCAGGUCUUGAUAAAGUUCACUGAUAGAAUUUUUUUUUUUAAGAUUUGUUUGUUUAUGUAUACAAGAACUGGGGUGCAGGCCAGAGGUGCAGAGAGGUGAGGAUUCACCAGAGACAGAGUGGGGAGCAGAAUAGGCGGAUCCACUGAAAUACACUGCUGAGGGGAGCAGCGGGGAGACAGGAGAGGUCUGCUGCACCAUGUGAGUAGCUCCCUGGUUGGGGAUUGAACUCAUGCUACAAUGGCUGCCUAUAGCUUCAUAGUGCUGAGACUUCACCCCUUGCGUCACAAGGGAGGCCCCUAGAAUCUAUUUUAAAGUAGAUUUUAGAAAAGACAUUUUAUUUUAAAAUGCUUUAUUAUAGGACAUUUUAAACAUGCAUAAAUGUAGAGAACAGAAUAUUGAACCUCUACAACCUCUCUGCUCAUCCCAACAGUUAACUAUGGACAGUCUUGUAUCAGAUGGAUGGAAUUCUCAGAUCGUAUUGGAAAGUCACCCAGGGUAACAAGUCCCUAACCCUUUAGGAUCUCUGAACCCAGAAAGGGUAAAUGAGGUGUUAGUACAGUUCAGAUUAACCACCAGCUGUGAAGGAUGGGCCAUUUAUUUUGUCAUUCCUCUAACUUUAAAUGUUUGGUUUUUUUUUUAAAAAAAAGAUUUAUUUACUUGUAUAAGAACUGGGGUACAGGCCAAAUGCACGGGAGGGUGAGAGGAUUCACCAGGGACAGAGUGAGGAACAGAACAGGCAGACUGACAAAAUACACUGUUGAGGGGAGCAGCGGGCGAGACAGGAGAGGUCUGCUCGCCACGUGGGACCCUUGCCGGCCAGCCAGGAUCCAACUGGUGCUGCAGAGGCUGCGGACAGCUUCACAGCGCUGCACUCAACCGCCUGCGCCACCAGGGAGGCCCUAACUUGAAGUGUUUUGUGAUAACAAUUUUAUGGUUAAAGUAGACUUAGCUUGUUUAAUGGCUAAUGUGAAAUACAAUGAAACUGAAGCUUCAGUGAGGGUGUCCACAUUUAUUUGGGAAAUUCGAUGAAAUGAAUGACCCUCUAUAACUAAGAGAAUAUAGACCAUAGUCUGUGCAUAUUGAUUCAAAAGUGAAAACUACCUGUCCCUCCACCCCUUUCUGGAAUUUUCCCAAAGGAAUGGGGUCAAGCUCAAUGUUUCUAUUUAUCUCUUCCCUUUCCUGUUGGUAUUUUCCCUCACAACAUACCAUUAGUAGACUUCACUGAUCAUUAUAUUAAAUCAAAGAAUGGUAGAGAGGAAAGGAGUCCUGGGAUAACAGUGCAAACUUUCCAGUGUCUAAGUAAGGAACCAGCAGCCCUGAGGUCUUAGCAAGACUUGCCUGCAAUUCUUUCCAUGUCUGUAUCACCUAGAGUAAGGUAGGGGAACUGGGGGCAUUGCCCUGGUGGUGCAGCAGGGUUGCUGUUCUGUGUGUGGUGCUUCCCUGCAGCAGGAAAGGAAUGCAAGCUUCGUGUCAGCUCUCUGAAUGUCCCUGCAGACAGGACCCAGAGCGGCAGGGUCUUGGCAGCCAAGGCAGAGCAGAAACCAAAGGCUCUUGGGUGCAGAACCUCAUCCUUUCCAACCUCAUCAACUAAAAAUGAACCAAAGUUGAGGUUUUCAAACUCUUCAUCCAGAAGCCCUGCUUUCAGCUGGGUGUUUGUUGGCUCUGCUGGUUAAGUGAACCCAGCGAUAGGUUUACUGUACUCUUUCAAGUAUUAGUUAUUUUUAGCACACGUUUAUUGAGCAGUUGCUUGUGGCAGAUACUGAGCUUAGCGUCCUGCAUGAGUUACUUCAAUGGGUUCUCACAACAGCCUAUGAUACAGGUUCCAUUAUUAUUAUUCCUAGAAAUCUGACUUUAGAAUUCCUAGAAAUCUGUUCUGAGGCUACCAGAGAGGGAGGGAGUGCAGAAGCAAAGCAGGAAGGGGGCACAAUGGACUAUGAUACAUGAUUAUGAGAGCUUUGGUGGUGGGUGUGAUGUGGUAACACAUCUGAAGAGGUGUGACCCUGUUGCCCCUCAAGCCUACACAGUGUUGUAAACCAGUGAUAGCACAAUAAAUAAAGCAACAAGCAAAACACCAAAAAAAUUAAUUCCCAUCUAGACAUGAGAAAAUGAAUCUGGAACUUCAGAAACUGUUUUUGUUUUUAUUUUCCCUUGGAGCUCUCUGUUCUGGAGAUCACCCAAGGUACCUGGUUCAAAUUCCAGAUACAAAUGAUGAGGUGGCUUAGAACCAAGAUUUUGUUUCUCUGAUGACUAAAUUUUUCCCAGAUAAUAACACGACAGUUAAGGGCAUGGGCUUUCAAGCCAAACAAAUAUGCAGUUAAAUAUAGGCUCUGCCACUUGGCAGAUUGUACCUGACCAGUCUCGAUUUCCUCAUCUGGAAAACAGGGAUGAUGAUAAUAGUCCUGUACCUGGCACACUAGCUGAUAACUGGUGGUGAGGGUGAAAUGGAAUGAAGAUUUCAGGCGCAUAAUACAGCCCCCUGCUGCAGUGCUCAGUGCAUUUCAUGGUGGAAUGUUAAGUGUCCAAAAAGUUUUAACUGAUAUUGAUUCAUUAUUAGACCUGGACGAGUUGAACACAAUGGUGUCCAUUAUUCCUUCAGCUUAAUAUAUUCAGAAUAGGAAUAAGUAAAGCAGCCUGGAUUCAUUUAAUGAACAAAAGUAGGACUAUGCUGACAUUAUUCAGCUUAAUUCUUUUUUUCUUUAAAGCAUGGCCACCUCUCUGAGAGACCCCAGAUCUGCUGUGGCCUGUUCUAAGCUUAGCUGCUCAACACAUGUGCUUUUGCUGUAGGCCAGUGAAAUAAGCAGAUCAGGGUCUCGGGAGAGGUAGAUGCUGUUUUGGGCAGCCUGUGACGGAGACAGCAGAAAGAGCUGGUGUCACCAAGUCAUCACUCUUGCCGUUGGAGCAAACUUUUCCUGUAAGUAGCUUUGAGAGAGAUUUUGCCUGCUGGGAGCUGUUCAUGCUGCUGGUGUCUAAUGAAGUCAGUAUUUUCUGCAAAGUCUGGUCUCUGGUGUUCCUCCAGCGCAGGCAGCAUGGCCCAGCCAGCACAGCUGGCGUGCCGAGGCCCAGCUUUCCGAUACUGCAGUGUCUCCACGCCCUAUGGCGUGGAGUGGGCAGGGUGAAGGUUGCCCAGUCCCUUCUCAGGCCCUGCCUGUCCACCCAAGAUUGCCCAGAACACACUGCUCCAAAUUUGUAGCAAUUGGCAGCUCUCUUCUGUGCCAUUCAGGCAUCUCUUAUUCAAAACACUGUGGGUUUCACCAACUCUACUCAGACAGAACCUUAUCUUUUCUUUCAAAAAACACUUUGUGUUAUUUUAAAAAUAAAAUUAGUUAAUUCUCAGUGUCUACGAUUAGGAAAAAGAAGACUCUUCACAAUGCUUUUUUGCUAUUUCUUUUUUCUAAAUUUUCUGUUUCAUUGAGGCAGCGUUGGGUUACAAGACUGUAUAUGAUUUUAGCAAAUAGGUUCACACCUUCUCAUUGCCACAUCUACCACCAAGGCACCCAAGACCUACCAUAGACCAUUGGGUCCCCACCCCUUUGUUCGGCCUCCUACUAGCCUCCGUUCUGCAGUUAUAUUACUAAGGCUUGUUUUUGCCAUUUCUUGCCCCCAACUCCAUUUUCUUCCCCAAUGGUAAUUACUAAUAAGAGUUUGUGGAAGGCCCUUAAUGUGUGCAUUAAUACACACAUAUAUGAACAUAGAUGCGUAAACAUGGAUAUACGUAUU